UACGUAGGUGGCAAGCGUUGUCCGGAAUUAUUGGGCGUAAAGCGCGCGCAGGCGGUUCUUUAAGUCUGAUGUGAAAGCCCACGGCUCAACCGUGGAGGGGCAUUGGAAACUGGGGAACUUGAGUACAGAAGAGGAAAGCGGAAUUCCACGUGUAGCGGUGAAAUGCGUAGAUAUCAAGAGGAAUACCUGAGGUGAAGACGGGUUGCUAGGCUGACACUGACGCUGAGGCGCGAAAGCCAGGGGAGCAAACGGG
rnacentral:rRNA from 1 species